GACGAACGCUGGCGGCGUGCUUAACACAUGCAAGUCGAACGAUGAACCCGGAGCUUGCUCCGGUGGAUUAGUGGCGAACGGGUGAGUAACACGUGAGUAACCUGCCCUUGACUCUGGGAUAACUGCGGGAAACUGUAGCUAAUACCGGAUACGACCCUCGGCGGCAUCGCCAGGGGGUGGGAAGAAUUUCGGUCAAGGAUGGACUCGCGGCCUAGCAGCUAGUUGGUGAGGUAACGGCUCACCAAGGCGACGACGGGUAGCCGGCCUGAGAGGGUGACCGGCCACACUGGGACUGAGACACGGCCCAGGCUCCUACGGGAGGCAGCAGUGGGGAAUAUUGCACAUUGGGCGCAAGCCUGAUGCAGCAACGCCGCGUGAGGGAUGACGGCCUUCGGGUUGUAAACCUCUUUUAGUAGGGAAGAAGCGAAAGUGACGGUACCUGCAGAAAAAGCACCGGCUAACUACGUGCCAGCCGCCGCCGUAACAC
rnacentral:rRNA from 1 species